rnacentral:rRNA from 1 species
AGCGAACGCUGGCGGCAGGCCUAACACAUGCAAGUCGAGCGCCGUAGCAAUACGGAGCGGCAGACGGGAGAGUAACACGUGGGAACGUGCCCUUCAGUUCGGAACAACCCAGGGAAACUUGGGAUAAUACCGGAUACGUCCGUAAGGAGGAGGAUUUAUCGCUGAAGGAUCGGCCCGCGUCUGAUUAGCUAGUUGGUGGGGUAAUGGCCCACCAAGGCGACGAUCAGUAGCUGGUCUGAGAGGAUGAUCAGCCUCACUGGGACUGAGACACGGCCCAGACUGCUACGGGAGGCAGCAGUGGGGAAUAUUGGACAAUGGGCGCAAGCCUGAUCCAGCCAUGCCGCGUGGGUGAUGAAGGCCCUAGGGUUGUAAAGCCCUUUCGGCGGGGAAGAUAAUGACGGUACCCGCAGAAGAAGCCCCGGCUAACUUCGUGCCAGCCGCCGCAGUAACAC